UGGAGUCUCGCUAACGAUUCA
ensembl:piRNA 21ur-4443 ncRNA